AACGAACGCUGGCGGCAGGCUUAACACAUGCAAGUCGAACGCAUCGCAAGAUGAGUGGCAGACGGGUGAGUAACGCGUGGGAACAUACCCUUUUCUACGGAAUAGCUCUGGGAAACUGGAAUUGAUACCGUAUACGCCCUACGGGGGAAAGAUUUAUCGGGGAAGGAUUGGCCCGCGUUGGAUUAGCUAGUUGGUGGGGUAAAGGCCUAACAAGGCGACGAUCCAUAGCUGUCUGAGAGGAUGAUCAGCCACAUUGGGACUGAGACACGGCCCAAACUCCUACGGGAGGCAGCAGUGGGGAAUAUUGGACAAUGGGCGCAAGCCUGAUCCAGCCAUGCAGCGUGAGUGAUGAAGGCCUUAGGGUUGUAAAGCUCUUUCACCGAUGAAGAUAAUGACGGUAGUCGGAGAAGAAGCCCCGGCUAACUUCGUGCCAGCCGCCGCCGUAAGAC
rnacentral:rRNA from 1 species